UUUACUAGUUACUUGAAAAAAAGUAAUCUGAUUGGGAUGGUUCUAGUGAAGUUUCCCGCCACGGUGCAAAACACACCUAGGUUGGGCGUUUCAGCCCAGUGACGGGGACCCGAGAAUAAUUUGAAGGUUCGGACCAGACAUUUGGGGCACUCAUAGGAACACUUCGCAUCCACACUACUGAUGACCCCAAAAUCUUUUAGAAGUUGACAAUUAGCCAGACCACACUUUAUGCCAUUUAAUAAAGCUAUUUUUAUGGGGAAUAUUUAAUAUGACUGGAAUGCCUGGCUUUGUUCUUGACUUGGCCCAGGGGAUAUUAAAAUAUGGCUUCCCAUUGACUCUUAAAACAAACAAUUUUUAACUUUAUUGUAUUUUCUGUGCAACUGGAUGAAUACCAAACAUUGUGUUUUAUUUGAAAACCAACCCAACAGAUUCAAGUGUCUUACACAGUAAUACAGCCACUACAUAAAGUUCAUUGAGGUGGUAAGAGAAAGUUACAGGCAUGAUUUGAUUCCUUUUUUUUUUUUUUAUAUUUUAUUUUCUUUAUCAAAAAUCCAUUUCAAAUCUGGUGAAUGUCUGUAAAACAAGACGAGAUAAAAAUCAAAGACUCAAUGAUGGUGUCCACAUAACCUCUUUCCUCAGCCCUCCUGAAACAGGGAUUCACUACUGAUGUCUAUCUGCCGAUUAAACCAGGGAAUAAACACCAAGAAUAAAGUAACAAAACGGUGGAGAACGCUAGAGCUAGCAGAUCACAGCGCACCAUGGCUAUUAACCACGAAACUUCAACAGGAAGAAAAUUAUACAUAUUUGUACAUAUAUAUAUUAAACAAAAA